CUGCGCGCGAGCGAACAGAGGGAGGGGCGCGCGCCGGCGAGGGAGACCCAAGCUAGGGCGGCAGGGAAGCUCCAUGGCGGGAGUCGCGGCUCGAGGAAGCUCAGCUGGACGCUCGGCCAUGGGAGGGGGAGAGGAGCGUGCAGAAGCUUGAAACCGAGCAGAGAGGAGCGCCAUGGGGCUUGGGGCCGGGCACGUAGGGAGCAGGGCGCGCGCGCAGCACCAGAGCUGGAGCAGGCAAUCUUGAGGGAGAUGAGCGCGCUAGAGGAGGGAGCCACGGUCCAAACGCUGGCGAGCUCGAAGCCGGCUAUGGACGAGCUCGGGCAGAGGGGCCAGGGGCGCGACGCAGAAAGGAGCGCGCGACAGGGAGAGGGAAGAGGGAGCAGGGGCGCUUGCCAGGGAGAUCCGCGCGAGAGAGAUGGGCGCGGCAUGCAGGGGAAGAAGAAGCUCCGCUGCUGGAGACCAGAGGCGGCCGAGCGCCUAGGAGGGAGAAGUGGAAGGAGCAGAGGCCGAGGUGAGCGCGGAGAGGAGUUCGGCUGGGGAUAA
rnacentral:misc_RNA from 1 species